rnacentral:rRNA from 1 species
AGUAGGGAAUAUUGGGCAAUGGAGGCAACUCUGACCCAGCCACGCCGCGUGUUGGAAGACGGUUCUCUGAAUUGUAAACAACUUUUCUAAUAGAAGAAAAAGAGUGGUGCGCCACUUGUAUUGACGGUAUAUUAGGAAUAAGCACCGGCUAACUCCGUGCCAGCAGCCGCGGUAAUACGGAGGGUGCUAGCGUUGUUCGGAAUUACUGGGCGUAAAGCGCGCGUAGGCGGAUUGGAAAGUAUGGGGUGAAAUCCCAGGGCUCAACCCCGGAACUGCCUCAUAAACUCCCAGUCUUGAGUUCGAGAGAGGUGAGUGGAAUUCCGAGUGUAGAGGUGAAAUUCGUAGAUAUUCGGAAGAACACCAGUGGCGAAGGCGGCUCACUGGCUCGAUACUGACGCUGAGGUGCGAAAGUGUGGGGAGCAAACAGGAUUAGAUACCCUGGUAGUCCACACCGUAAACGAUGAAUGCCAGUCGUCGGGUAGCAUGCUAUUCGGUGACACACCUAACGGAUUAAGCAUUCCGCCUGGGGAGUACGGUCGCAAGAUUAAAACU